rnacentral:rRNA from 1 species
UACGUAGGAGGCGAGCGUUGUCCGGAAUUACUGGGCGUAAAGCGCGCGUAGGCGGUUUUUCGCGUAGGCGGUAAAAGCCCCCGGCUUACCCGGGGGAGGUCCGUCUAAACGGGGAGACUGGAGGGCGGUAGGGGCUGGCGGAACGCCCGGAGUAGCGGUGAAAUGCGUUGAGAUCGGGCAGAACACCAGUGGCGAAGGCGGCCGGCUGGGCCGACCCUGACGCUGAGGCGCGAAAGCCAGGGGAGCGAACGGA